rnacentral:rRNA from 1 species
UUAGGAAUUUUGGGCAAUGGCCGCAAGGCUGACCCAGCAACGCCGCGUGGGGGACGAAGGCUCUCGGGUUGUAAACCCCUUUUCGCGGGGACGAUGAUGACGGUACCCGCGGAAGAAGCCCCGGCUAACUACGUGCCAGCAGCCGCGGUAAUACGUAGGGGGCGAGCGUUGUCCGGAUUUAUUGGGCGUAAAGCGCGCGUAGGCGGUGCGGCAAGUCGGCCGUGAAAUCUCCAGGCUCAACCUGGAGGGGUCGGGCGAGACUGUCGGGCUGGAGGCAGGCAGAGGGCGGUGGAAUUCCGGGUGUAGUGGUGGAAUGCGUAGAGAUCCGGAGGAACACCAGUGGCGAAGGCGGCCGCCUGGGCCUGACCUGACGCUGAGGCGCGAAAGCGUGGGAGCGAUCCGGAUUAGAUACCCGGGUAGUCCACGCCGUAAACGAUGGGCACUAGGUGUCGGGGGUAUCGACCCCCUCGGUGCCGGCGCUAACGCAAGUAAGUGCCCGCCUGGGGACGUACGGCC